UUUUGAUAAUCUUCUAUUGAAUAAAUUGUAUCAGAAAAUCGAGAUUUUAAAUGAGAGGUAAUAGUGAGAACCGUCUUGAUCUGUUUGCAUAAAAUCAAUCGACACUUAAUAGUUCAAAGGUUUCAUGUUAACUCGAGAUUUAAGAAAGUUUUAGGUGGAAUAUUUCGCGAUUAUUUUACUUUGGAUCCGUUUUAUGAACUUUAAGAUUAUCUAUUGACUUUGGUAAUAAAAUUGGAGACAAUUUCAUCUGGAUAAUUGCUCGCAAGAGAUCAAGAUACUAUCGUUUACCUAUUGAUCUAACAAACACCCUUUACGAGGAAUGACAAAAGUUUUAGCAGAAAUUUCUGUUCGAAGAAAAUUAUUGGUGAUUUAUUGAGAUGAGAUGCAUUUUGAAAUGGAAUUAAUAACAAUCAUCUCGUUAAGAGUUUCGGCUUCAUAUUAUUAAUAUAAGACUAAUUAUGACUUUAUCUUUUUCUGGAUGAACAUCAUUGAUCGUCACUUACUGUAUAUUGAUGAUUUAAUGUGCAUAUGAUUAAUAAGCAUUAGAAUACUAACUAAAUUUAUUGCGACCGUUCAAGUGAUUUAUCGAGACACGAGAUUAACCGAACCAAAUUAUUGACAAAACUAAACUCCAUUUGUUUCUGCUAUUCAUAAUUUUUUGAUUCUCUACAAUCUUGAGAUACUGAAGACUUUUAUCUCAAUUGUAUAACUUCAUCGUAGAGCUUUUGAGUAAAUUUGACCUGAAGAUAUCAAUCAAGUUCAUUUAUGAUCUCAUCGUUUCUUUACCUGUUCUUUCAUGAUAAAUUUCCAAUGAAUCCAAUUUAUUUUACUUAUCAUUAUUGGAAUUUCAACUGAUUUUUCUGAAUGAAAAACCAUGAUUAUGGAGUGUAUUUAAUUAAUGAAACAUUUAUCUAGCCAAUAAAAGAUUUAUGAAAUUGUAUUUCGUCUCUGGUUACAUCGAACUAAAUAAUUCAUUUUUGAAAAAUCUACCGAAGAAAGAAUAUUGGAUUGAUAAUCCACGAGAAUUAUAUCAUGAGAGAAAUUGAUGCUUUUUACUAAGUAUGAAAAUGUCUUUGGAUUUUUCGGUGCUUUUCAAAGACGUUUUCAAUAACUUUUGUAGAAAAAUUGAGUAGCCAAAGUGAGAAAUUCGUUAUUGAAAUUAAACAUGGUUAAGAUGUGAUAUGAGAAAUAAUGAGGAAAAAAACAAAUCAAUCCCGUUUUUAAAGAUAAUGUUUUAUAUGUUUUACCAAAAUGUCACAGGAGUUAUUGUGCCAUAAAUGUAUCAUAACUAGGUUAGUCUACAUGUCGAGAUAAACAAAAAGAUGUUUAAAAAUUGUUACGACAAGUGAUUAUGUGAAACUUCAACUUUAUCAAUUAAUUUUAUAGUAAAAGUUUUUUUAAUAAUCUUCUAUUGAAUAAAUUUUAUCAGAAAAGCGAGAUUUUAAAUGAGAGGUAACAGUGAGAAUCGCCUUGAUCUGUUUGAAUGAAAUUAAUAAGAUAUGCAAAUAUAACCGAAACUAAGAAAACGGUAAUCUACAAACACUUCGAAAAGAUAAUUACAAUAAUAGAUAAGUUCAUCUCGAACAUUCGGAAGGCAGUUAAUCUAUUCAACUUUUUGAAAAACUGUACCCAAGAAAGAAAAUUGGUUUGAUAAUCCACGAGAAUCAUAUCAUAAGAAAUUGAUGCUUUUUACUUUGAUUGACAAAGUUUCAGAUCGAAUGAAUUAGUUUUGGGACAUAAGAUGUUUUUGCGGUUACAACUGGUGCGUGGGAAAUGUAAUCUUUCAUUUUAGGCUUCUAAUAGUAUUGAGGCUACGAAACUGGCAAGAUAUGUUGGAAUUGGUAUCAGUGUAUUUUUUUAAUCGAAAAAGAGCAAUACGAAUCACCAAGGUACAAGGGAUCGUUCCCGUCCCAAUAUGAAUAGAGUCAUAGUACUGAUUCGAUUUGUUCAAUAUUAUUCAAUUAAUUUUAUUAAAGUACAAAGUUAUCUUUGACUAUUUUCCGUUCAAAGUUAUGACUGAAUUAAACUCGAAAUACAAAAUGAAAGAUUAAUCAAAGGCUAAACCAAUUAGAAACUUUUUCCGAGUCCAAAUUUGUCUUUACAUUUCAAUACUUGAAUUAAAAAUCUCUUUUUCGCCAUUGAAACUAAACUUUUAUGUGGUUUUUAGUAAUAAUCUUUGAAAACAGAGAAACAUACGAUUAGAUCUAAUUGUUAAACCACAAUCAAAUUUACUAUCAAAUUAGAUUAAAAUUAGUUGAAACCACAUAAUCUGUACACUUAAAGUUAAUUAAUUAUGUGUGUCUUGAGAUUUAGUCUGUUUUUAAGCAUUUUGAUUGAUUCCAAUUGAACUCCAAGUUUAUCUUUUCCAUAUUUGAUUGAUGAUUUGCAAAUGACUAGAUGAUAGUAUCUUUAGAUUUAGUCAAAGCUUCGAGAGCUGAAUUCAAUGCAAGAAAACUAAGGUGAGUUGAAACCUCAGUAAAUUUCAAAUUCAAAAUCUACGAAAGAUGAAUAAAAGAAAAUGAAACAAAAGCAACGUGAUUAAUACUGAUUCUCAUUUACCAUGAUAUUUACUAUUAAAACUCGAACUUUUGUGCAGUUUAUAACUGGUAGAUCUAAACUAGAGAGACUUAAAAAUAUUAUCAUGUUGAAAUAUAAUAUAACUCAAACCUCGUAAUGUCUCUUAGAAUUUGUACCAUUUCUUGUAUUAGAAGAGACAAGAAAUACAACGAAGAAGAUUUUUACAACUUGUUUUUAUACUUGUCAAAAAAAUACAAAACUCCAGCAAGAAAAAGCCUCAUCAAUGAAUGAAAAUCUUAUCAUGGACGCAAAAAAUUCAUUAGUUUUUAUGAAAAAGAUCCUCUCUUACGAAUGCAAAUACUGUUCGAAGGAGUAAAGAAACGAUACAAAGUAAUAUUGAUAGUAGUCUUUUGAUGGUCAGUCAUAGUGUUUUUGAUUUUCUCAAGACAUUUUUGUCCUUAGAUAAUUUUGAUUUAACUGAUAAAAUAAGACGAAAGUAAUGUCUACAUAGACUUAAAAAAGAGAUUACAACAGUUACAUUUCAGCUAAAGUCGCGAAAGACUUUUAAUAGUUCAAAGGUUUCAUGUUAACUCAAGAUUUAAGAAAGUUUUAGGUGGAAUAUUUCACGAUUAUUUUACUUUGGAUCCGUUUUAUGAACUUUAAGAUUAUCUAUUGAUUUUGGUAAUAAAAUUGGAGACAAUUUCAUCUGGAUAAUUGCUCGCAAGAGAUCAAGAUACUAUCGUUUACCUAUUGAUCUAACAAACACCCUUUACGAGGAAUGACAAAAGUUUUAGCAGAAAUUUCUGUUCGGAGAAAAUUAUUGGUGAUUUAUUGAGAUGAGAUGCAUUUUGAACAAUCUACGGAAGAUGAAUAAAAGAAAAUCUAACAAAAGCCACGUGAUUAAUAUUGAUGCUCAUUUACCAUGAUAUUAACUAUUGAAACUUGAAAUUUUGUACAAUUUUAAACUGGAGGAUCAGGUUAGGUAAGCUAGUGCGACUUAAAAAUAUUAUUAUGGGAAAACAUAUUAAUACAGCCAUGAAAAAUUAUUGUCCAAUGAAUUGGUCACAAUCACUGAUGGAUUUAAAAAUCAAUUGAGACUCAUUUUUCACGGCUGGAUAACUUGAACAUGGUAAUAUCUCUUAUACUGUGACAAGAAAUACAAUGAGGAAGAUUUUUACGAUUUUAUUUUUUCGUAGUCAAUCCAAUGUUUUGUCUUCAGCUAAUUUUUAUUGAAUUAAAUAUGACGAAAGGCAAUGUCCACAUAGUGAUAAUUUAUUAAUGAGCAUUAGAAUAUUAACUAAACUGAUAGCUUUUAAGUGAUGCAACGAGAAAUGAGAUUAACC